GAUGAAGAACGUAGCGAAAUGCGAUAAGUAAUGUGAAUUGCAGAAUUCAGUGAAUCAUCGAAUCUUUGAACGCACAUUGCGCCCUCUGGUAUUCCGGGGGGCAUGCCUGUUCGAGCGUCAUUAUAACCACUCAAGCUCUCGCUUGGUAUUGGGGUUCGCGGUUCCGCGGCCCCUAAAAUCAGUGGCGGUGCCUGUCGGCUCUACGCGUAGUAAUACUCCUCGCGUCUGGGUCCGGUAGGUCUACUUGCCAGCAACCCCCAAUUUUUACAGGUUGACCUCGGAUCAGGUAGGGAUACCCGCUGAACUUAAGCAUAUCAAUAAGCGGAGA
rnacentral:misc_RNA from 1 species